ACUCCUACGGGAGGCAGCAGUGGGGAAUCUUGCACAAUGGAGGCAACUCUGAUGCAGCGACGCCGCGUGAGCGAUGAAGCCCUUCGGGGUGUAAAGCUCUUUCGUCAGGGAAGAUCAUGACGGUACCUGGAGAAGCAGCUGCGGCUAACUACGUGCCAGCAGCCGCGGUAAUACGUAGGCAGCGAGCGUUGUUCGGAAUUACUGGGCGUAAAGGGCUCGUAGGCGGCCAACUAAGUCAGACGUGAAAUCCCUCGGCUUAACCGGGGAACUGCGGGACAUACUGCCCGGCUCGAGGAAGGUAGAGGCCGGUGGAACGAUAGGUGGAGCGGUGGAAUGCGUAGAGAUCUAUCGGAACGCCAAAGGUGAAGACAGCCGGCUGGGCCUUUCCUGACGCUGAGGCGCGACAGCGUGGGGAGCAAACAGGAUUAGAUACCCUGGUAGUCCACGCCGUAAACGAUGGGCACUAGAUGCUUGGGGGAGCGACCCUCCGAGUGUCGGCGCUAACGCAUUAAGUGCCCCGCCUGGGGAGUACGGCCGCAAGGCUGAAACUUAAAGGAAUUGACG
rnacentral:rRNA from 1 species